CCAGCAGCAGGGCCUGAUUUGCUUCCCAACAGCAAGCAGUCUCACCGAAGAGCAGCAAGAGAGGUCUCUCCAAGCCUUACGGAUAAAAAGCUUUCUUCGGGUUAAAACCGUAGGGCUCGAGACAAGCACUGCAAGAAUUUAUGAAACCAUGACUGCCAACACUCAAAACCAUCCAAACCAACCAACCAACCUCUGCAUUGUAUUAAAUGACCGAUGUCUUUUCAAA